UACGUGGGGUGCAAGCGUUGUUCGGAAUUACUGGGCGUAAAGAGCACGUAGGCGGGCGCGUAUGUCAAUUGUGAAAGCCCUGGGCUUAACCUGGGAACUGCAGUUGAAACUGUGCGUCUUGAGUGUCUGAGAGGAUGGGAGAAUUGCUGGUGUAGUAGUGAAAUACGUAGAUAUCAGCAGGAAUACCUGAGGCGAAGGCGCCUAUCUGGCAGAUCACUGACGCUGAGGUGCGAAAGCGUGGGGAGCAAACAGG
rnacentral:rRNA from 1 species